CCAGCUCCAAUAGCGUAUAUUAAAGUUGUUGCAGUUAAAAAGCUCGUAGUUGGAUUUCUGGCGUGGCGCCGCCGGCCCGGCAUCCUAGUGGUGCUGUGUUGUCGGUCGGCGCCUGCCAUCUUUUCGGAACAACCAGCGUGCCCUUCACUGGGUGGCGUUGGCGACUCCGAUCGUUUACUUUGAAAAAAUUAGAGUGUUCAAAGCAGGCUUACCGCUGUGAAUACAUUAGCAUGGAAUAAUAACAUAGGACUUUGGUCUUAUUUUGUUGGUUUCUAGGACUGAAGUAAUGAUUGAUAGGGAUAGUUGGGGGUGCUCGUAUUCAGGGGCCAGAGGUGAAAUUCUAUGAUUCCCUGAAGACGAACUUAUGCGAAAGCAUUCACCAAGGAUGUCUUCU
rnacentral:rRNA from 1 species